rnacentral:tRNA from 1 species
GAGGGUAUAGCUCAAGUAGUAGAGCUGCAUGCUUAGCAUGCACAAGGUUCUGGGUUCAAUUUCCAGUACCUCCU